GUGCCCUUGAGCUCUCAACCCCCCUGAGUGAGGAAUUCCAUUCUCUGCCUUCCUCUAUUUAUUGCAAGGCACUCUGCACGUUGUUCUGGAACUCUAUAAAUGACAAAAAUGCACAUAAGAAACUCAACAGAUGGGAGGAGAUCAUCCCAGGAAAGAUGGUUUGUUCACUUGAUUACUUCCCGGGAGAAACGUGGUUCUUUUGCACGUAUCGCUGAGGAUCAUCACUGAGAGCGAUGCAGGGAGCUUUGCAGCCUCUCAUCCGCCACUAACACUUGCAGAGCUUUCAUCAUUUGCUGUGGAACAACAGCAGGAGAGGGCUGCUGUGCUCCUAUCUUCCCUGUGAGUUCCCCCAAGGCAACUGGUUGGUCACUGUUGGGAAAGAAGGUUGGACUAGAUGGGCCUUUGGUCUGAUCCAGCAGGACUCUUCUUCUGUUUUUCUAGGGUUGUUCUUUUGGCUGAAUGAGCGCUAGUGCUAGAGGCUGCUUUUUCUAGCCCUGUGCCAAACACAUAUUUGGCAA